GUAGUGACCUGCGGGAGGAUCAUUA
rnacentral:rRNA from 1 species